UUGAUCUCAAAUCAGGCAGGACUACCCGCUGAACUUAAGCAUAUCAAUAAGCGGAGGAAAAGAAACUAACAAGGAUUCCCCUAGUAACUGCGAGUGAAGCGGGAAAAGCUCAAAUUUAAAAUCUGACGGUUGUAUUGGCUGUCCGAGUUGUAAUCUAGAGAAGUGUUACCCGCGCUGGACCGUGUACAAGUCUCCUGGAAUGGAGCAUCAUAGAGGGUGAGAAUCCCGUCUUUGACAUGGACUACCAGGGCUUUGUGGUGCGCUCUCAAAGAGUCGAGUUGUUUGGGAAUGCAGCUCAAAAUGGGUGGUAAAUGCCAUCUAAAGCUAAAUAUUGGCGAGAGACCGAUAGCGAACAAGUACCGUGAGGGAAAGAUGAAAAGAACUUUGGAAAGAGAGUUAAACAGUACGUGAAAUUGCUGAAAGGGAAACGCUUGAAGUCAGUCGCAUCGACUGGAAAUCAACCUUUGCUUUUGCUUGGUGUAUUUUCUGGCUUGAUGGGUCAGCAUCAAUUUUGAUCGCUGGAUAAAGGCUUGGGGAAUGUGGCAUCUUAGGAUGUGUUAUAGCCCUGGGUUGCAUACAGCGGUUGGGAUUGAGGAACUCAGCACGCCGCAAGGACGGGUUUCGACCACGUUUACGUGCUUAGGAUGCUGGCAUAAUGGCUUUAAUCGACCCGUC
rnacentral:rRNA from 2 species